rnacentral:rRNA from 1 species
GAUGAACGCUGGCGGCGUGCCUAAUACAUGCAAGUCGAGCGAACGGACGAGAAGCUUGCUUCUCUGAUGUUAGCGGCGGACGGGUGAGUAACACGUGGAUAACCUACCUAUAAGACUGGGAUAACUUCGGGAAACCGGAGCUAAUACCGGAUAAUAUUUUGAACCGCAUGGUUCAAAAGUGAAAGACGGUCUUGCUGUCACUUAUAGAUGGAUCCGCGCUGCAUUAGCUAGUUGGUAAGGUAACGGCUUACCAAGGCAACGAUGCAUAGCCGACCUGAGAGGGUGAUCGGCCACACUGGAACUGAGACACGGUCCAGACUCCUACGGGAGGCAGCAGUAGGGAAUCUUCCGCAAUGGGCGUAAGCCUGACGGAGCAACGCCGCGUGAGUGAUGAAGGUCUUCGGAUCGUAAAACUCUGUUAUUAGGGAAGAACAUAUGUGUAAGUAACUGUGCACAUCUUGACGGUACCUAAUCAGAAAGCCACGGCUAACUACAUG